ACUGAACGCUGGCGGCAGGCCUAACACAUGCAAGUCGAGCGGAUGAAGGGAGCUUGCUCCUGGAUUCAGCGGCGGACGGGUGAGUAAUGCCUAGGAAUCUGCCUGGUAGUGGGGGAUAACGUCCGGAAACGGGCGCUAAUACCGCAUACGUCCUGAGGGAGAAAGUGGGGGAUCUUCGGACCUCACGCUAUCAGAUGAGCCUAGGUCGGAUUAGCUAGUUGGUGGGGUAAAGGCCUACCAAGGCGACGAUCCGUAACUGGUCUGAGAGGAUGAUCAGUCACACUGGAACUGAGACACGGUCCAGACUCCUACGGGAGGCAGCAGUGGGGAAUAUUGGACAAUGGGCGAAAGCCUGAUCCAGCCAUGCCGCGUGUGUGAAGAAGGUCUUCGGAUUGUAAAGCACUUUAAGUUGGGAGGAAGGGCAGUAAGUUAAUACCUUGCUGUUUUGACGUUACCAACAGAAUAAGCACCGGCUAACUUCGUG
rnacentral:rRNA from 1 species